CCGGGUGAUCCUCGCUCCGGCUGCGGCGUAGGUGGCUCCGGCUGGGGUCGCUGAAGCUCCGGCCCUUCAGCCGGCUCAUCAGGCUCUGAGAAACCACCUCGUCAAAGCGCUCCCGGUGCUUCUUAGGGAUGAAGAUCCUGAUGGAGUAGCUGAAGAAUAAAAGGAGCACAGGGUGUGUGUUGCUGUACCUGUGGGAGGAUUGAGACAGAAAUGGAGUAAGGCUUGAAUAAAACAAAGGACACAGAUGAGUUUUGCUGUGCGAUCACAACAGCAGUCGUGGGUGUUUGUGCCUCACGGCUAAAAAACAAAAAGUGCUGGAGUCCCCUCAGGGAAGAACAACAGUCUUCCUACUGGAGAUGGUUCCCCCCAUCCUAACUAAAUCAUAAAGAAUUAAUCUCACAGGGGAGUUCAUUUGGAAGUAGAAUUUGUGAGUCUCAUUUCCACAUUUCCGACAGAUGUGGAGAAACAGUAAAGAAAAGUAAGGA